rnacentral:rRNA from 1 species
GACGAACGCUGGCGGCGUGCCUAAUACAUGCAAGUCGAACGCAGUGGGGACGGGUGAGUAACACGUGGGUAACCUCCCAUCAGAGGGGAUAACACUUGGAAACAGGUGCUAAACCGAUACUGAUGGAUGGACCCGCGGUGCAUUAGCUAGUUGGUGAGGUAACGGCUCACCAAGGCCACGAUGCCUAGCCGUCCGGAGAGAUGGAUCGGCCACACUGGGACGGAGACACGGCCAAGACUCCUACGGGAGGCAGAAGGAGGGAAUCUUCGGAAAUGGACGAAAGUCUGACCGAGCAACGCCGCGUGAGGGAAGAAGGUUUUCGGAUCGUAAAACUCGUUAGUUAGGGAAGCGGUAUCUAACCAGAAAGCCACGGCUAACUACGUGCCAGCCGCCGCGGUAAUAC